UACGUAGGGUGCGAGCGUUAAUCGGAAUUACUGGGCGUAAAGCGUGCGCAGGCGGUUCUCCAAGUCCGUUGUGAAAGCCCCGGGCUCAACCUGGGAAUGGCAGUGGAAACUAGGGGACUGGAAUCUGGCAGAGGGGGGUGGAAUGCCGCGUGUAGCAGUGAAAUGCGUAGAGAUCGGGAGGAACAUCCAUGGCGAAGGCAGCUACCUGGACCAACACUGACACUGAGGCACGAAAGCGUGGGGAGCAAACAGG
rnacentral:rRNA from 1 species